UGGGGAAUAUUGCACAAUGGGCGCAAGCCUGAUGCAGCCAUGCCGCGUGUAUGAAGAAGGCCUUCGGGUUGUAAAGUACUUUCAGCGGGGAGGAAGGGAGUAAAGUUAAUACCUUUGCUCAUUGACGUUACCCGCAGAAGAAGCACCGGCUAACUCCGUGCCAGCAGCCUCGGUAAUACGGAGGGUGCAAGCGUUAAUCGGAAUUACUGGGCGUAAAGCGCACGCAGGCGGUUUGUUAAGUCAGAUGUGAAAUCCCCGGGCUCAACCUGGGAGCUGCAUCUGAUACUGGCAAGCUUGAGUCUCGUAGAGGGGGGUAGAAUUCCAGGUGUAGCGGUGAAAUGCGUAGAGAUCUGGAGGAAUACCGGUGGCGAAGGCGGCCCCCUGGACGAAGACUGACGCUCAGGUGCGAAAGCGUGGGGAGCAAACAGG
rnacentral:rRNA from 1 species